rnacentral:rRNA from 1 species
GACGAACGCUGGCGGCGUGCCUAAUACAUGCAAGUAGGACGCAGUUGCGAACGGGUGAGUAACGCGUAGGUAACUACCUAUGAGUGGGGGAUAACUAUUGGAAACGAUAGCUAAUACCGCAUACUAGUAGAUGGAGCUGCGUUGUAUUAGCUAGUCGGUAGGGUAAUGGCCUACCUAGGCAACGAUACAUAGCCGACCUGGUAAGGUGGUCCGCCAACCUUGGAAUGGGGAACGGACCAGACUCCCACGGGGAGGCACAGUAGGGGAACAUUGGCAAUGGGGGGAAACCUGACCGCGCAAAGGCGCGUGAGAGAAAGAAGGUUUCCGAUCGUAAAGCUCUGUUGUUAAGGGAGCGGUACUUAACCAGAAAGGGACGGCUAACUACGUGCCAGCAGCCGCGGUAAUUC